AAUAUUUGACUAUGGGCGAAAGCCUGAUCCAGCCAAGCCGCGCGUGUGAAGAAGGGCCUCGGGUUGUAAAGAACUAUAAGUUGGGGGGAAGGGUAGUAAGUCAAUACCAUGCUGGUUUGACGGUACCGUAAGAAUAAGCACCGGCUAACUUAGUGCCAGCAGCCGCGGUAAUACGAAGGGUGCAAGCGUUAAUCGGAAUUACUGGGCGUAAAGCGAGCGUAGGUGGUUUGUUAAGUUGGAAGUGAAAGCCCCGGGCUCAACCUGGGAACUGCUUUCAAAACUGGCAAGCUAUAGUAUGGCAGAGGGUGGUGGAAUUUCCUGUGUGGCGGUGAAAUGCGUAGAUAUAGGAAGGAACACCAGUGGCGAAGGCGACCACCUAGGCUAAUACUGACACUGAGGUGCGAAAGCGUGGGGAGCAAACA
rnacentral:rRNA from 1 species